UGUUGUCUUUCUCGUUUGUCAUCUGCAUCUCCCAGCGCUAUUUUAUUCAUUUUUCUUCUUCUCAAAGUCGCAGAAUAUGAAACAAAAAGUUCAGAUUUUUUUCUACUUGGCUUAUGAAGGAAGAAAAACCUUCCUAGAAAGGAGGAACAAGUCGGAAUCUCCUUAAAACCUGCGAGGUUUCAAAAGAGAAGCAGAUUCUCAUGUCACUUCCUUCAUUAAAUUAAAGGGUACAUUGUCGUAGAAUUCAGUAUCUGGGUAUGGAAAUUCUCUCGUAUAGCUCUGGACCAUGCUGUCAAGUGGUGAACUUGCAGAGGAAAUCGGAUGAAAAAUGUUCAAAUUCACGGUUUCCCAUUUUCAGAGAGCGUGGAGUUUGUUAUAGCAACACCAUUUAUAGAAGAGGAUCAGUGAGAUUUCAUGAAAACAAGGAGCAGCAAAGAGAUUUGGUUGGGUCUGUGACUGUUACUGAAGGGUGUAAAAGAAUCAAUUGCAAGGCUUAUAGUGACAGAUACGAGGGGUAUGUGAUUAAUGGUGAAAAGGAUUUAACAGAUAUUUCAGGGAUAGAAGAGUCUGCAACUACGAAUGUUGUGAUUCCAGGUUUACCAGAUGGGUCAAAUGGAGAAUGUGGUGCUCCGAUCAGUAGUUGUUUUUGGGAAUGGAGGCCUAAACUCAACGUUCACUACGAUAAGGCAGGGUGUGAGAACGUGGAUUCUCCACCUGUUCUUUUUCUUCCUGGUUUUGGUGUUGGAUCUUUCCAUUAUGAAAAGCAACUGAGAGAUUUGGGGCGUGAUAACAGAGUUUGGGCACUGGAUUUUCUAGGCCAAGGAUUGUCCUUGCCCUUUGAAGAUCCUACUUCAAAUGGAAAUGGUUCUUCAUGGGGCUUCGGAGAUGAAACGCAACCCUGGGCCACUAAUCUUGUGUACUCCAUUGAUUUAUGGCAUGAUCAAGUUCGACACUUCAUAGAAGAGGUCAUUGGUGAAGCAGUGUACAUUGUGGGGAACUCACUGGGAGGAUAUGUGGCAUUGUAUUUUGCGGCACGUAACCCUGAUUUAGUGAAAGGUGUCACACUUCUUAAUGCAACACCCUUUUGGGGUUUCUUCCUAAUCCAAAUAAGAAUCCACGCCUAGCAAAUAUUUUUCCUUGGGCUGGAACAUUUCCCCUACCAGCAAGUGUAAGAAGACUCACAGAGUUGGUGUGGGAGAAAAUUAGUGAUCCUGCAAGUAUUGCAGAGGUACUGAAUCAGGUUUAUGCAGACCAUUCAACGAAGGUAGACGGUUUAAUUUCACACAUUGUAGAAACCACACGGCAUCCUGCAGCAUCAGCAGCUUUUGCUUCGAUCAUGUGUGCUCCUCAAGCAGAGUUAUCUUUCAAUGAAUCAUUAUCCAGAUGUGGAAGAAUGAAUGUGCCAAUUUGCCUCAUGUACGGAAGAGAAGAUCCCUGGGUAAAGCCACUCUGGGGAGUCCAAGUUAAAAGCAAGGUUCCUGAAGCUGCAUAUUAUCAAAUAAGCCCUGCUGGUCACUGUCCUCAUGAUGAAGUUCCUGAGGUGAUAAAUUUCUUGCUACGUGGGUGGAUAAAAAAUGUGGAGUCUCAAGGUUCUAUCUCACUGCCACUGCUUGAUGACUUGGUCUCUGAGGAAGAAGGUAAUGUGUGGGAGUUAGAAUUUAUGAGAGAAGGUUCAAGAAAAUCAACCAUGGUGAGAUUCUUCGGCUCCAGAAUCUCCAUUUUGGACAGAAUAAGAUCUUACAUCGAUAAUCCUCGUUCCAGGUUGAGAAAUUCAGCAGCUAAAUCUCAAUGACAUGACGAAGCUGUGGCACAACAUUCCUCUUAUGAAGGAAAUAAUGUACAUUAGUUAUUAUUUGUUUGUGCCAUGUACAUUAGUUAUUAAUGAGAAUCAAUCGUCAUUGUUGGAUGUUUUGCAACCAUUAAACACCGGUCUCUAAUUAAGUCAUUUUUUUUGGGUUAAAUAUCAUUUGGAUCCUUUAAGUUUGAAUGAAAUUUGAAAUUAGU